UUUAAUGCUUUUCAUUUUCAAAGCAAAUACAGAAGUCUCUGAGAUUUGUAUCAAAUUAGGGUUGUAUAGCUCAACUUCAUUAUCCGGCGAAGCGAAUUCGUUACUUUCCGGCGAGGUACUGUUUUGUUUCAGAGAGUUUUUGCGUUAUUACAGCUAAAAUUCUGGAACUGGUGCUACAGCUUGAAGAUAUAGCUUUGGAUGAAGUUUGCCUUAGCUAUGAUCAUAUAGUCCCACAUCCUAGUUGUGAACAUGCCAAUGAGUUUCUCUCCCGGAUUGAUAACUGUAAGAAACCCUAGUAUGAAGUAAUUGGUUUGUUAAGAACCAUAGGAGGUCAAUCUACUCUUAAAUAUAAUAAUCAGCAGAAGGGCAAAGAAGUUCCUCCUUUGAACAAGGACAAUGUUGGAGAAGGACUCAAGGGAUGAUAGGCUUGAUUGCGUGUUCCCUUCUAAACAUGAUAAGGACUCUGUUGAAGAAGUUUCAAGUUUAUCAUCUGAGAAUACUAGGACAUCAAAUGAUUGCUCCAGAAGUAACAAUGUUGACUCCAUUAGCAGUGAGGUUUAUCCCAAUGACCCCACUCUGGAUGACAAGAAUGCUGCAGUUAGGGAAAACUUGCAUAGCUAUCCUCUUGGUCCCGUUUCUCAGGCAGAUGAUGAUCUCGGUUUUUUUAAUAGUAAUCAUGAGGAUAAAAACACUACCGAGCUCUUAUAUUAUAACUGGCCUGAGAUGGAAAAUUUUGAAGAUCUUGACAGGAUGUUCAGAAGUUGUGAUUCAACGUUUGGACUUGGAGCUAGUAUUGAAGAUGACCUUGGUUGGUUUUCGUCAUCUGAUGUUAUUGAAGGAUCUGGAGGUGGAUUGAGGUCAGAUUUUGAGUUUCCCUUCUCAACAUCCAGUGCACUUGAAAAUAUCUCUGGAAUGCAGGAAGCUUCCAGGCCAAAGGAAACAGACAGUUCAAUUAAUGAUUCUGGCGCUAAAGAUCAACCCUUUAGUCAGACUGGCAGUUCAAUGCCAUCAGAGGAUGAAUCAGCCGUUCCGAGUCAUCUAUCUUUUGCAAAUGGCUCAAGUGAUUCAGAUUUCAAGAUAGUGCCCAAAAAGAAGAUUAAUCUUCACCAAAUUAACUCUAAGCUCCAGAAUCGAUCUGAGGGAAAAAGAAAACAUGUUUACCUGGAAAAUGGGGAGACAUUCAACUAUAUUGAUAGCCUUCCAGAAGAGAGAAAGCAUCCUACUGCAAUCACUGGAUCUCAGGCUCUCACAUCCACAGGUAUUCAGCAGCACAAGCAAGUUGAUGGAUCUGAUUUUGGGUAUUUUCAGGAUGGCUUUUCUUACUUAUCUUCAGAUUACAGUCAUUCAGAUCAGACUACGGUGGAUGGUAUAGGAACAAAUGAAAAUAUGGUGGACAAGCUACUUCACCAUUCUGUAAUUAAGCAUGAAAACAACAGGGAUCUUGGAAGUGUCAGCACGGGAAUUCCAGCAGAAGUAGGUUCCUCUAUUGUAAAGGAGAGCUCUUGCACAAGUUCCGGGUUGAAUGAAAUUUCUGAGGAGGCAGAUAGUUUUCAUCAGCUUCAACAUGUCAUGGAACGGCUGAUGUGCAAAAGCCUUCCAAAGUCUGACUUAUCGUUCAGUGUCUUGAAACUAUCUUUGUGUUAAUCCCUGUUAACUUGGGCUAGGAAGGGGCAGUUAGCAGAUAUGGUAUGUGGUUCUUCAAGUUUAUACAUUUAGUUGGAAAUAAACUUUCUUUUCAGUACAUACAUGUUUGUAAGCUCACUCUGUUGAGCUUUCUGGUUUAGUUGGAUAUAAGAACAAAGCUACGCAUAAAGGAUAGCUUGUAUCGGUUGGCUCAGAGUGCUGAACAAAGGCUUAGACAUUCUAAUCUCAAUAAUGGAUCUGGUGAUGAAAGAUGCACAAGCGGAGCAAUUGUUGACGAUGGAGAGUACAGGUGCACAGGAUAUUUGGACAUGGAGACAGACACAAACUCUAUAGAUCGAUCUAUUGCUCAUUUGCUCUUCCACAGGCCUUCAAACUCAUCUACGAUGGCUGAUUCUUCGGCUUUGAAGUCGCCUUCCAUGAUUUUCGAGACAUUACUCAGCCCACCAGUGAUUGAUGAGAACUUGAUUUCUGCUGGAGAAAAUGCAACCGAACCAGAUAAAGGAACGAAAUAUUAAAGAGGCUUCGAUACAAAUGGGUUGUGUUUACUUUCAAUUUAUGUCGCCUGGACUCGCCUACAUGUACGUGCAUGUAAGUAUCUGCUAUGGAUACUUAUAUAGUUUUUUGUUGUUUAGUGUAAUUCGAAGAAUCUACACAAAGUAUGAGGAUGAGGGUCUAUGUCAAAUAGCUUCCAAUUACUCGUGUGUUUGUUUAUGAGAAUUAUCAAGAAUCUCAAAUGAGAAAUUAUUUCAUGUUUAUAACACGCUCGUGUGUUCCAUGAUUUUGA